CGCCCCGAAACACGCCCGGGGAGCCGGGGAGCGCGGGGCCCGAAACACCCGGGGAACGCGGGGCCGGAAACACCCGGGAAACCGGGGAGCGCGGGGCCCGAAACACCCGGGAAACCGGGGAGCGCGGGGCCGGAAACACGCCCGGGAAACCGGGGAACGCGGGGCCCGAAACACCCGGGGAACCGGGGAGCGCGGGGCCCGAAACACGACCGGGGAACCGGGGAACGCGGGGCCGGAAACACCCGGGAAACCGGGGAACGCGGGGCCGGAAACACCCGGGAAACCGGGGAGCGCGGGGCCGGAAACACCCGGGAAACCGGGGAGCGCGGGGCCCCGAAACACCCGGGAAACCGGGAACGCGGGGCCCCGAAACACCCGGGGAGCCGGGGAGCGCGGGGCCCCGAAACACCCGGGGAACGCGGGGCCCCGAAACACAACCGGGGAACCGGGGAGCGCGGGGCCCCGAAACACGCCCGGGGAACGCGGAGCCGCGGCCCCGGGACGGGAGGAAACGGGGAGGGAGAGGAGCAGGGAAUGGGCAGGGAAUAGGGAGGGAGAGGGGCAGGGAACGGGGAGGGAAUGGGGAGGGAGAGGGGCUCGGAGUGGGGCAGGGAAUGAAGAGGGAAUAGGGAGAAAGAGGGGCAGGGAAGAGGGAGGGAAUGGGCAAGGAGAGGGGCUCGGAGUGGGGCCGGGAAUGGGGCUAGGAUUGAGCAUGGAGUGGGACAGGGAACGGGCAUGGAGUGGGGUAGGGAAUGGGGCUAGGAAUGGGCAGAGGAGAGGCCAUGGAGUGGGGCAGGGAAUGGGGCAUGGAUGGGGCAGGGAGUGGGCAUGGAGGGGGACAGGGAACAGGGCAUGGAGUGGAGCAGGGAGUGGGUGUGGAAACGGGCAUGGAGACGGGCAGGGUGCAGGGCAUGGGAGUGAGAUGGGAAAUGGGGCAUAGAGCAAUGGAGCAGGUGUGGAGUGCAGUAUGAACAGGGGACAUGGAGUGGGGCAUCAAGCAGGGCACGGAAUGGGUCAUGGAGCGGGGCACAGAGCAGGGUUCAGCCAAGGUAAAGCCUUGUGCAAUGCAGGGCAUGGAUGCCACAGCCAGGAGUGCUUUGGCAUGGAGCAUGCCAGUGCCCUGGGAACAGCCAGGCACAGCCCAGUGUGUGGAAUCACCAAAUGACAGAAUCACAGGCUGGUUUGGGCUGCAGGGGACCUCAAAGCCCACCUUGUUCCACCCCUGCCAUGGGCAGAGACACCUUCCACUCUCCCAGCUUGCUCCAAGCCCCAUCCAAACCUGGUUUCCAGGGUUGGGGCAGCCACAGCUGCUCUGAGCACCCUGUGCCAGAAUCCCUCCCUCCCCUGCU
rnacentral:lncRNA from 1 species